rnacentral:tRNA from 1 species
AUCAGGUUAGCAGAAUAUUUAAUGCAUUUGUUUUAGGCUCAAAAGGUUAUACUAUAAGUAUACCUGAU